rnacentral:rRNA from 1 species
AGUGAACGCUGGCGGUAGGCCUAACACAUGCAAGUCGAACGGCAGCACAGAGGAGCUUGCUCCUUGGGUGGCGAGUGGCGGACGGGUGAGGAAUACAUCGGAAUCUACUCUGUCGUGGGGGAUAACGUAGGGAAACUUACGCUAAUACCGCAUACGACCUACGGGUGAAAGCAGGGGACCUUCGGGCCUUGCGCGAUUGAAUGAGCCGAUGUCGGAUUAGCUAGUUGGCGGGGUAAAGGCCCACCAAGGCGACGAUCCGUAGCUGGUCUGAGAAGAUGAUCAGCCACACUGGAACUGAGACACGGUCCAGACUCCUACGGGAGGCAGCAGUGGGGAAUAUUGGACAAUGGGCGCAAGCCUGAUCCAGCCAUACCGCGUGGGUGAAGAAGGCCUUCGGGUUGUAAAGCCCUUUUGUUGGGAGAGAAAUCCAGCUGGCUAAUACCCGGUUGGGAUGACGGUACCCAAAGAAUAAGCACCGGCUAACUUCGUGCCAGCCGCCGCGGUAA